rnacentral:tRNA from 1 species
GGGAGCAUAGCUCAGCGGUUAGAGCAGGGGUCUCAUAAACCCUUGGUCGUCGGUUCGAGUCCGACUGCUCCCA